UAGUAACGGCGAGUGAAGCGGCAACAGCUCAAAUUUGAAAUCUGGCUCUCGGGCCCGAGUUGUAAUUUGUAGAGGAUACUUUUGAUGCGGUGCCUUCCGAGUUCCCUGGAACGGGACGCCAUAGAGGGUGAGAGCCCCGUCUGGUUGGAUGCCAAAUCUCUGUAAAGUUCCUUCGACGAGUCGAGUAGUUUGGGAAUGCUGCUCUAAAUGGGAGGUAUAUGUCUUCUAAAGCUAAAUACCGGCCAGAGACCGAUAGCGCACAAGUAGAGUGAUCGAAAGAUGAAAAGCACUUUGAAAAGAGAGUUAAAAAGUACGUGAAAUUGUUGAAAGGGAAGCGUUUAUGACCAGACUUGGGCUUGGUUAAUCAUCUGGGGUUCUCCCCAGUGCACUUUUCCAGUCCAGGCCAGCAUCAGUUUUCCCCGGGGGAUAAAGACUUCGGGAAUGUGGCUCUCUUCGGGGAGUGUUAUAGCCCGUUGUGUAAUACCCUGGGGGGGACUGAGGUUCGCGCAUCUGCAAGGAUGCUGGCGUAAUGGUCAUCAACGACCCGUCUUGAAACACGGACCAAGGAGUCGUCUUCGUAUGC
rnacentral:rRNA from 1 species